rnacentral:rRNA from 1 species
UACAGAGGUCUCAAGCGUUGUUCGGAUUCAUUGGGCGUAAAGGGUGCGUAGGCGGCGUGGUAAGUCGGAUGUGAAAUCUUGGAGCUUAACUCCGAAACUGCAUUCGAUACUGCCGUGCUUGAGGACUGGAGAGGAGACUGGAAUUUACGGUGUAGCGGUGAAAUGCGUAGAUAUCGUAAGGAAGACCAGUGGCGAAGGCGGGUCUCUGGACAGUUCCUGACGCUGAGGCACGAAGGCCAGGGGAGCAAACGGG